UGCAGCAUGGCGUAGUGGUUUGAGUGUUGGACUAUGGCUCUAGAGAUCAGGUUUUGAAUCCCUGCUCGGCCA